GCCGGUGUAGCUCAGUUGGUAGAGCAGCGCAUUCGUAAUGCGAAGGUCGGGAGUUCGACUCUCUUCACCGGCACCA
rnacentral:tRNA from 55 species